rnacentral:rRNA from 1 species
AUACGUAGGUGACAAGCGUUAUCCGGAUUUACUGGGCGUAAAGGGCGUGUAGGCGGUCUUGCAAGUCAGAAGUGAAAUUCCUGAGCUCAACUCGGGCGCUGCUUCUGAAACUGCAGGACUUGAGUGCUGGAGGGGAUAGCGGAAUUCCUAGUGGAGCGGUAAAAUGCGCAGAUAUUAGGAAGAACACCGGUGGCGAAGGCGGCUAUCUGGAAAGUAACUGGCGCUGAGGCGCGAAAGCGUGGGGAGCAAACAGGAUUAGAUACCUUGGUAGUCCACGCCGUAAACGAUGAAUACUAGGUGUAGGGGGUAUCGACUCCCUCUGUGCCGCAGCUAGCACAAUAAGUAUUCCGCCUGGGGAGUACGGCCGCAAGGUUGAAACUUAAAGGAAUUGACGGGG